rnacentral:tRNA from 1 species
UGGUGGUGAUGGCAACAGGCUUCAAAACCA